UUUUUUUGUCCAACAUUGAUUACUGGUAAUCGGCAAAUUAUGUUCGCAUUAGUGUGAUUGAUAUCAACAGUGACGAUUUCUAAUUUGUGAAAUUCAGAAGAUAUGUAAUGGGAGAGAGAAUUGGCUUAAUCGUGAUUGAAAAAGAUUGAUAAAGAGUUGCUUUAAUUGCUGCUAGUGCUAUUAGGUUUAUAUUUUCUCUUGUGUUUGGGAAAACUUUGUUUAAAUUCAAUAUUGA
rnacentral:misc_RNA from 1 species